rnacentral:lncRNA from 1 species
UAGACACUGUUCCGCAGACCACACCACACCACACUACACCUCCCCUCAACUCACCCACCCCAUCUCAUCUCUCUUACUCUUCACAUGCUUGACAACCAUUGAUUUUCUUUUUACCCCACCCUAGUAUUAAAGCCUCUACUGCAGAAAUUCCUUAUUUCUAGUAUUUGCUUGAGUCAAUAAGUUGUUUAAGCCAAUAAAUUAGUUCCAAAAAUUAGGUCUUUGCUGUUUGUAAUGGGUUCUUAUUUUUCUCUUGUAGUUUGGUUGAUAUUGGAAUUCUAUUUUUACUAACCCUGUAUUUAAAGCCUCUUCGCUCUUCAAUAAACGUAUCCAGUGUUUGCUCAUGUGCCUUUUUUUUGUGCAUUGUAUUUUACUAGUCUCUAUUUACCUUUCUUUUCCUAACAAUAGUAGAGAGAAGUCUUAGUGGAGUUCUAUUUUCUUGACAAAGUGGUAUCAGAGCAGCUUACGUGUUUUUGAGAUGGCAAACACUACAAAUGGUAUCAGUCCCACAAUACCCACACUGCCACUCUUCAAAGGUAGUGGGUAUAAUAUAUGGAGCACAAAAUUGAUGACUCUUUUCAUCUCUCAAGACUUGUGGGAGCUUGUAAAAAAGGGGUAUGGUACAAGUGAAUUUGAAGAAGAAAGAUGCUAAAGCUCUUGCUGUCAUCCAACAAGCAUGAGAUGACAACAUUUUUUAUUGAAUUUCUGGUGCAAAAAUGUCCAUGGAAGCUUGGAACACACUACACAGAGGUUUUCAAGGAACUUCCAAGGUAGUUACUGUUAAGUUACAAACUCUUCGUCAACAAUUUGAGAGUUAUUUCAUGAAGGAUGGUGACUCAACUGACACUUGUUUCUCAAAGUUGCUGGAGAUCAUCAAUCAAAUUCGCAAGUAUGGAGAAUCUUUGUCAGAUCAAAAGGUUGUAGAGAAAAUAUUGAGGAGUUUACCAAAAAAAAAAAAAAAAAAAAGAACAUGUGGUUGCUGCAAUUGAGGAAUCAAAACAUUUGAGUCGGUUGAGUGUUGAUGAAUUGUUGGGCUCCUUGCAAUCUCAUGAAGAUAGGAUGAAGCGAUAUGAAGAAGGAGCCGUUGAGAAUGUAUUUCAUACAAAAUUAUAGCAAUCAAAUCACCUAACCAAGGGCGACAAUUCCAGCUACAAGCGAGGGCAUGGAAGCAAUGUGUUACAUGGUAGUGGAUGCUUUAGAGACAGCUUCGGUGGACAUCAUUAAACUCAUAAGGAAGGUGAACACAGAGAAAGGCCUGACUAUGGUGGUACUCACACUCGUAAGCCUCAAUGUUAUUAUUGUAAAACAUUUGCCCAUAUUGAGAAGUUUUGUAGGUUGAAGGAACGUGCUAAAAUUGCUGCAGAACAAAAAGAAAGUGAAAUAGAAAGUUCAUUUUUUGCCUAUCAUGCUAAUGUGUGUGUUGCAGAUGUUUGGCAUAUUGACAUGGCUGCAGUAGUCAUAUGACGGCAAGCUUGGAGGUUUUUUCCACAUUGGAUAAGUCUGUUACAACCAAGGUGAAGAUGGGUGAUGGAGCAAUUUGUGAAGCACUUGGUCGAGGAGAUGUGGUGAUAAACUUUGGGAAACCAAUGUGCAUUAAAGGUGUAUUGUAUGUUCCUGACUUGGAUUCUAAUUUAUUGAGUGUGGGUCAAUUUCUUGGAGAGCGGCAUUCCCUUGUGUUUUUUUAAGCAACACUAAGAAGCAGCUUUUACUUAAAGUUCCCAUGGCUAAGAAUAAUUUGUUUUCUGUCACUUUAAAUGGUGACAACCAUGCACUGAAAGUCUCUUUUGAUGAUGAUACUUGGUUGUGGCAUUAUAGAUACGGACACUUGAAUUUUCGAAGUUAGAACAUGUUAGCUAACUCUAGUUUGGUGCAAGGUCCGCCUCCUUUACAUGCUAAAAACCCCAUAUGUGAAAGUUAUGUUAUUGGAAAGCACCGUUGAGAUGCUUUUUUCGAAAGGUCAGGUAUGGGUAGCCUUAAAACCUAUAGAUUUGGUGCAUGUGGAUGUUUGUGGGCCUGUGCGCACACUGUCCUUGAAUAACAACAAAUAUUUUAUCGUCUUUGUUGAUGAUUUUAGCAGGAUGACAUGGGUUUAUUUUCCCAAAUACAAGUCUAAUGCAUAUUAGAUUUUCAAACACUUCAAGGCUUUUACAGAAAAGUGAAGCGAAUAAGCUUUAAAAAUCUUGAGGAUAGAUCAGAGCAGAGAGUUACUUUUCUCUGAAUUUGAUAUUCGAAGACAGUUUACUGCAAGUUUUACACCUCAACAAAACGGUGUAGUAGAGAGGAAAAAUCUCAGUCUUGUGGGGAUGGCAAAAAGUAUGCUUAAAGCAAAAGGUAUUCCUAAAUAUUUCUGGGUGAAAGCAGUUCACACGGCAACCUAUCUUCUCAACCGAAGUCCUACGAUGGCACUGCAUCACCAAACUCCUUAUGAAGCAUGGUAUGGUUGCAAGCCUACUGUAACUCAUUUUAAGGUUUUUUGUUGUAUUUCUUAUGCUUAUAUUCCCUCUGAAAAAGGGGGUCAAACUUGAUAAUAAUGGUCUUAAGUGCAUUUUUGUGGGCUAUAGCACUAAGACUAAAGGCUAUCGGUUGUAUGAUCCCCCAACCAAGAAGUUGCUGAUUAGUCGUGAUGAUUUUUUGAUGAAAAUAACGCUUGGAGUUGGCAUGAGCAAUAGGUGCAACAGCUUUCAACAAUAGAUCUUGAGGACUAUGAAUUUAUGGACGCUCCAAAUGAUGGGAAUAGUGAAGAUUCUGAUAGGGGUGUAACACCUUCAACUAGCUCAACAACGGGUUCAAGCAACCUAAGUACUCCAAGGAACUCGAGCAACCCAAACAAUCCGAGUAACUACUCAAGUCCUUCCAAUUCAAGCUCGUCUUCUUCAGAAUCAGAAACACCUCCAAGGAGUGAGGGUCUUUAAGAGAAAUCUACCAAAGAACUGAGAGAUGUUGGUUGGCAUGUGUUCAAGAACCAAAUGGAUUUGAGGAUGCUGUUCAACAUAAAGAAUGGUGCAUUGCUAUGGAUGAAGAAAUGCAUGCCUUGGAAAGAAAUAAAACUUGGGACAAUGUAGACCUACUUGAGGGCAAGGAAGUUGUGGGACUCAAAUGGAUAUACAAGAUUAAGUUCAAUAAUGAUGGUUCAAUUCAAAAAUACAAAGCUCGUUUGGUUUCUCAUGGCUUUAUGGAAAGGGAAGGUAUCGAUUUUGAAGAGACUUUUGCCUCAGUGGCAAGGUUUGAUAUAUUCGGGCUGUUUUAGUAGUAGCUGCUCAACACAAAUGGAAUAUUUUUUCAAUUUGAUGUAAAAUAAGCUUUUCUUAAUGGUGUUUUGGAUGAAGAAGUUUAUGUAUUGCAACUUAUUGGUUAUGCUAUUGCAGGACAAAAAAGAAGGCGUGCUGGUUGAAGAAAGCAUUGUAUGACCUCAAGUAAGCACAAAGGGCCUGGUUUGACAAGACUAAUGGGCAUUUUCUGAAGCAUCAGUUUAAGAGAAGUGAAAGUGAACCAUCUUUGUAUGUCAAGACAAAGGUUGACAUACAAAGGGAGCUGAUGAGGUACUUGUUGUAUGUCUUUAUGUCGAUGACUUGAUUUAUACUGGUAAUAGUGUUUGCUUUGAUGGAUGAAUUCAGGAGUAACAUGGUUAAUGAGUUUGAAAUGACUGAUUUGGGGUUGAUGAAUUAUUCUUUGGGUUUGGAACUGAAGCAAAUUGAUAUAGGAAUUUUUGUGUCCCAAGAAAAAUAUGUUAAAGAUCUUCUUGCUAUGUUCAAGAUGCAAGAUUGUAAUUCAGUGAAAACUCCGAUGAACACCAAUAAAAAACUAUGCUUGAAUGAUGGAGAAGAGAAAGUUGAAGCGGGUCUUUAUAGUAGUUUGAUUGGAAGCCUACUAUAUCUUGCUAAUAGUAGGCCUGACAUUUUGUAAGUUACAAGUCAUUUGUCAAGAUUUAUGCAAAAUCCAAGCAAGUUGCAUUAUAGGGUAGUUAAAAAGGUGCUGUGAUAUUUGAGAUGGACUAUUUCUUAUGGUUUUGUGUAUUCAAAAACUAACAAUUUUAAGCUUUGUUGGUAUUCUGACAGUGAUUGGGCAGGUUCUUUUGAUGAUCGAAAGAGCACUGUUAGUUCUGUUUUCAAUCUUGGAUUAGCUGCAAUCUCUUGGAGCUCAAAGAAGUAAUCAUGUGCUAUAUUGUCUUCAUGUGAAUCAGAAUACAUGGCAAUUACUUCAACAACAUGUUAAGCUGUUUGGCUUCAAAGAAUUUUGGCGGAUAUAAAGCAAAAGCAAGCAGAGGCAACAACAAUCUAUUGUGAUAACCAAUCCACAAUUGCUAUGAUGAAAAAUCCAAUUUACCAUAGUGGCAUAAGGUAUAUUGAUACCCAACAUCACUUUAUAAGAGACUUGCUCACAAACGGGAGCAUCAAGGUAUCUUAUUGCAAUACAAAUGAGCAGCUUGUAGACUUGUUUACAAAACCACUUCAUUUAAUGAAGUUUGAGAUGUUGAAAGAUCAAUUGGGUGUUGCAAAUUUUCCGAAGGGGGAGUGUUAAAGCCACUACUGUUGAAAUUCCUUAUUUGUCGUAUUUGAUUGAGUCAAUAAGUUGUUUGAGUCAAUAAAUUAGUUCUAAAAGUCAGGUCUUUUCUAUUAGUAAUGGGUCCUUAUUUUUUUCCUGUAGCUUGGUUGUUUAUUGGAAUUCUAUUUUUUCUAACCCUGUAUUAAAAGUCUUUCCUCUCUUCAAU